UACGUAGGGUCCGAGCGUUGUCCGGAAUUACUGGGCGUAAAGCGCGCGCAGGCGGCCCGCGAGGUGUCACGUGAAAGCCCCGGGCUCAACCCGGGAGGGUCGUGGCAAACCGGCGGGCUUGAGGCCGGUAGAGGUGGGUGGAACUCCUGGUGGAGUGGUGAAAUGCGUAGAGAUCAGGAAGAACACCCGUGGCGAAGGCGGUCUGCUGGGCAGUUGCUGACACUGAGGCGCGACAGCGUGGGGAGCAAACAGG
rnacentral:rRNA from 1 species